rnacentral:rRNA from 1 species
UACGAAGGGGGCUAGCGUUGUUCGGAAUCAUUGGGCGUAAAGCGCGUGUAGGCGGUCCGGUAAGUCCGCUGUGAAAGCCGGGGGCUCAACCCUCGGAUGCCGGUGGAUACUGUCGGGCUUGAGUACGGAAGAGGCGAGUGGAAUUCCUGGUGUAGCGGUGAAGUGCGCAGAUAUCAGGAGGAACACCAAUUGCGAAGGCAGCUCGCUGGGACGGUACUGACGCUGAGACGCGAAAGCGUGGGGAGCAAACAGG